AGUGAACGCUGGCGGUAGGCCUAACACAUGCAAGUCGAACGGCAGCACAGGAGAGCUUGCUCUCUGGGUGGCGAGUGGCGGACGGGUGAGGAAUACAUCGGAAUCUACUCUGUCGUGGGGGAUAACGUAGGGAAACUUACGCUAAUACCGCAUACGACCUACGGGUGAAAGCAGGGGACCUUCGGGCCUUGCGCGAUUGAAUGAGCCGAUGUCGGAUUAGCUAGUUGGCGGGGUAAAGGCCCACCAAGGCGACGAUCCGUAGCUGGUCUGAGAGGAUGCUCAGCCACACUGGAAAUGAGACACGGUCCAGACUCCUACGGGAGGCAGCAGUGGGGAAUAUUGGACAAUGGGCGCAAGCCUGAUCCAGCCAUACCGCGUGGGUGAAGAAGGCCUUCGGGUUGUAAAGCCCUUUUGUUGGGAAAGAAAUCCAGCUGGCUAAUACCCGGUUGGGAUGACGGUACCCAAAGAAUAAGCACCGGCUAACUUCGUGCCAGCCGCCGCAGUAA
rnacentral:rRNA from 1 species